rnacentral:rRNA from 1 species
GUGUCAGCCGCCGCGGUAAUACGGAGGAUCCAAGCGUUAUCCGGAAUCAUUGGGUUUAAAGGGUCCGUAGGCGGUCUAAUAAGUCAGUGGUGAAAGCCCAUCGCUCAACGAUGGAACGGCCAUUGAUACUGUUAGACUUGAAUUACUGGGAAGUAACUAAAAUAUGUAGUGUAGCGGUGAAAUGCUUAGAUAUUACAUGGAAUACCAAUUGCGAAGGCAGGUUACUACCAGUGGAUUGACGCUGAUGGACGAAAGCGUGGGGAGCGAACAGGAUUAGAAACCCUUGUAGUCC